UUUAAAAGCAUAACAGAGGUAAGUCUUGCCUCUCUGAAAAGAAAACACAGAAUGACACCCCUCCUCUCAAAGGGCAAGAUGGAGAAGUCUGAUUAAAGUGAACACGCACCUUUCCCAAGCAGAACGGCUGAAUAUGGUAAUGUACAAUGCGAGGAUUCUCAGUACGUGGACGAACGAUACGGGUCUCAGGUCCUCGGAAACACAUUUCUGACUUGGUUACAGUGUAUUUCACACAACGCUGCAGGUAUUAGUGUCAAUUACAACCUGCGCAUUCGGAACAGCCAAUUUGCACACGUUGCUUUCUUUCUGGAUCUGGCCACGGCCACUGUACCUCCGUUUUCCUCCACCUUAUAGGCUUUGCUCCAUGAAAAUCUCUCUCCUUUCCCCUCCUUGAACCGUGCUAUUUGCUGUGUUUCAUAAUGGUGGUUAUUUCUACAACUCUUUCAAAUCAAGUUAUGAAAGCAGUGGAUUCCUUUGAUGUGACACGGU